rnacentral:rRNA from 1 species
AUACGUAGGUGGCAAGCGUUGUCCGGAAUUAUUGGGCGUAAAGCGCAUGUAGGCGGUUUGGUAAGUCGGUCGUGAAAAUGCGGUGCUUAACGCCGUAUGGCGAUUGAAACUGCUGAACUUGAGUGCAGGAGAGGAAAGGGGAACUCCCAGUGUAGCGGUGAAAUGCGUAGAUAUUGGGAAGAACACCGGUGGCGAAGGCGCCUUUCUGGACUGUGUCUGACGCUCAGAUGCGAAAGCCAGGGUAGCGAACGGGAUUAGAUACCCCGGUAGUCCUGGCCGUAAACGAUGGGUACUAGGUGUGGGAGGUAUCGACUCCUUCCGUGCCGGAGUUAACGCAAUAAGUACCCCGCCUGGGGAGUACGGCCGCAAGGCUUAAACUUAAAGGAAUUGACGGGG